AGUGAACGCUGGCGGUAGGCCUAACACAUGCAAGUCGAACGGCAGCACAGAGGAGCUUGAUCCUUGGGUGGCGAGUGGCGGACGGGUGAGGAAUACAUCGGAAUCUACUCUGUCGUGGGGGAUAACGUAGGGAAACUUACGCUAAUACCGCAUACGACCUACGGGUGAAAGCAGGGGACCUUCGGGCCUUGCGCGAUUGAAUGAGCCGAUGUCGGAUUAGCUAGUUGGCGGGGUAAAGGCCCACCAAGGCGACGAUCCGUAGCUGGUCUGAGAGGAUGAUCAGCCACACUGGAACUGAGACACGGUCCAGACUCCUACGGGAGGCAGCAGUGGGGAAUAUUGGACAAUGGGCGCAAGCCUGAUCCAGCCAUACCGCGUGGGUGAAGAAGGCCUUCGGGUUGUAAAGCCCUUUUGUUGGGAAGGAAAUCCAGCUGGCUAAUACCCGGUAGGGAUGACGGUACCCAAAGAAUAAGCACCGGCUAACUUCGUGCCAGCCGCCGCCGUAA
rnacentral:rRNA from 1 species